GACGAACGCUGGCGGCGUGCUUAACACAUGCAAGUCGAACGAAGUGGCGAACGGGUGAGUAACGCGUAAUCAACCUGCCCUUCAGAGGGGGACAACAGUUGGAAACGACUGCUAAUACCGCAUACUGAAGGAGGGGAUUGCGUCUGCUUAGCUAGUUGGAGGGGUAACGGCCCACCAAGGCGAUGAUCAGUAGCCGGUCGGAGAGGAUGAAGGGCCACAUUGGAACGGAGACACGGCCCAAACUCCGACGGGAGGAAGCAGUAGGGAAUCUUCGGCAAUGGGCGCAAGCCUGACGGAGCAACGCCGCGUGAGUGAAGAAGGUUUUCGGAUCGUAAAGCUCUGUUGUAAGGGAAGCGGUAUCUUACCAGAAAGCCACGGCUAACUACGUGCCAGCCGCCGCGGUAAUAC
rnacentral:rRNA from 1 species